rnacentral:rRNA from 1 species
UACGGAGGAUGCGAGCGUUAUCCGGAUUUAUUGGGUUUAAAGGGUGCGUAGGCGGACGCUUAAGUCAGCGGUAAAAUUGCGGGGCUCAUCCUCGUCGAGUCGUUGAAACUGGGUGCCUUGAGUGGGCGAGAAGUACGCGGAAUGCGUGGUGUAGCGGUGAAAUGCAUAGAUAUCACGCAGAACUCCGAUUGCGAAGGCAGCGUACCGGCGCCCAACUGACGCUGAAGCACGAAGGCGUGGGUAUCGAACAGG